rnacentral:tRNA from 1 species
UGGGGCUGUGGCUCAGUGGUAGAGCACUUGCCUAGCAUGUGUGAGGCUCUGGGUUCGAUUGUCAGCACCACAA